rnacentral:lncRNA from 1 species
ACUUCCUACGGGCGGCUAAAGGCGGUGCAUGAACUGAACGUAGGCGGCCUCUUUAUCCCCUCCCCACAACACUGUGGGGUGGCACGUAAAGACCUCAAGGGAAGGGGGCCUGGGCGAUACGCUCUCCUGCUGCCAUUCAUUUGUUCAAGAAAUAGUUGAACAAAUGAAUAGUUAAACAAACUCUCCAACUAGGACUCUGUCCCAUUCGGAUACCCUACGCCUCUCCCCCCAUUUCCAUCCCUAGGCAUCACUCCCUCGUCAAGAAUAUGCUGAUUAUGGCUCGCGCCCCCUCUCUCCCUUGGACCCUCCCGCCAGGGCGACCGGACGAGGCCAGCGGGAGCAACGCCUUCCGAACCGCAAGGAAGGAGGGCUCGGAGUGCGCAGGGCGCGGGUUCGCGGGACCCUCCAGCGCGCGGGGCUGGCCAGCCGGGGCGGGGCCGAGGGCACCGGGCGCCGAGCUCCGGGAGGGGUCCCCGAGGUCGCGCCGGCCGGGAGGGGCAGCGGCGGGAGGCGGCCGACUGCGGCGCACACGUGGGGAGGGCGGAGCGGGGCGGGAGCCGGGCGAGGGGCGGUGACGGUACCUGAUGAAGGUGGUCUUGCCGGUGCUGUACUGGCCCACCAGCAGGAUCAUGGGCUUGUUCUCGAAGUCGGCGUCCUCCAGCGCAGGCGAGUGGAACUCGUGGAAGCGGUACGCCUCCUCCAGCGGCAGCACCUUGCGCAGGUAGAGCGAGCGCAGCCCGCCCGUCACCGUCUGCACCGCGUCCGCGCCGCCAGCGCGUUCGCGCCCGCCCGCCUGCCGCCCCAUCCAGCUGAACAUCCUGCCGCCAGUCCACGCUCGGAUGGGACCCUGCUCCGGGUUCGACUCUCCCCGGCUCGCACUGAGCCGCCCCGGCCGCGCUGGCCGCCGCCCGAGGAGGGCCCCGCCUUGUGCUGCCACAGCCAGUCUUCGGCCGCUACGUCACGCGCGCUCGCCCACUAUUCAGACGAGCUCUCUCAGGUCCUUCCUGAUUGGAUCUCUGCCAGAGAGGGCUGAAGGCGUCAGCCAAUUGAGAGGAGGUUCUUAAUGAAUUAUUGAUGACGGAGUCAUUCUAGAGGACUGGGCGGGGAGAUGGUGUCUUCCCGGCCGGGUGGCACUGACCGGUCAUGCUCAGGGCCCCCUUCUGGUUGCCGGUGCCUCACCUCUGGCCAGGUGGCAUCGGCUUCCGGGUAAAUCUGAGCUGCCCAAAGCGAGCCUCCGGAGGCUGCUCCAUCUCCUGGAACGUUUACUCAUUCAGGCCUCUGGACGUCGAUACUGGGGAUGAAAAGUUCAGAAAGUGGACAGAUUCCUGGUCUUCAGUCCAGACCUACUGAGUUAAAAUAUUGAGGAGAGAUGGAGCUCAACAGAUGCCCUAGGUGACUCUGAUGUGGCCUAAGUCUGGGGAAACAGUACACCCUGCAGUACUUCUCCAACCUAACAGAAAUGCGGAUUCUGAUUCGCAAUGUUUCCUGAAAUAUACCUGAGCUUGGAACAGCAUGGAUCUGUACGAGCUGGUGCCCCACUAGUUGAUGACAUGGCUUCAUGAAAACAGAGGAGCACCUCACCACUAGAAGAGACCCUUGCAGUAGGAAACAAAGCUGCAUGAGAAAAGGUCUUCCUCCAGCUGCAGCACCUGCUUCAGGGCCUUGGCCACCACGACCUUCCGCUUCUGCAGAAACUCCAGCUCUGCUGGGCACAGGCUGAAGCCCAGCCGCACGUCCAGUGUCUCAGGGCUGGAGGGAGAGAGGACCCUGUAUUGGGCCUGCAGCCUCUACCUCCCUGGAGUAGACACAGCUUCAGGGUCCAUUGGACCUAGGCUCAAAGCCUACUUCUGCCAGCGACCACUUCUGUGACCUUGGGUCUCCACUUUCCCAUCUGUAAAGUGGGGCGAAUCGUGCUGAACUCUCAGCACUGUCUUCAGCACUUAAAGAGAUAACAAAUGCAAAGCCCCCAAAGCCUUAGCUGGCACAAUGCGAGCUGGUACUCAACAAAAGAUAACUGUUGGCACUGUGUUAGGGACGCUUUGAGUCCUCUGUCUCCUCGGCCAGAUCUGGAAAGUCCAGAAAGUCUUCCCCCAGGUGGCUUCUCUAGCCCAGGGCCAGGCAUGGGUGACAAAAGGCGCUGAGAUCAUUUUGCCAAAUCCCUCUGAACAAGGCCCCACGGUAUGGACUCUUCUGUGCUAGGUAAACAAACUCCCUGUUCCUAUGGAGCUCACGUUCUUCAAUGAGCUCUUCCUGCUCCUAGAAUAACAAUUAUUCUGUGUGUGUGUGCAAUUGACAAAAACCAUCCCAUUCCUGAUCUCAUUGUGUCACCUCAUAGUCUGCAGGCAGGUGGGGCAGGCACCUCUGUGACAUGCACAAUGCUUGUCCUCUUUUUUUUUUUUAAUCACAUCCCUGCCCCAAACAAGUCCAGGCUCCUGGCCUGGCAUCCAAGACCCUGCCUGAUCUUUCCAAGCUCACCUCAAACUACCCGCGAAACUUCUGGGUCAGGUCCCAGAGCUCCCAGAAGCAGUCCUGUUUCCGGGUCUUGGCACAGGCCCCUGCCUUCACCAGAAGUGUCUUCCCUUUGCCCACCUCCAGCCUGUGCAUCCUCUGAGGCCCAGCUCCCCAGUGACUCCAGAUGAAUGUACCUUGACCAUUUCCAACUGAGCCUUGGCUCACUGACAAAGCCACAUCUCCUUGAAGGCUGGGCCUAGGAGAUUUCCAUCAUGUCUCCUCUUUGUCCAGCACAGGGCUGCAGACAUGGCUGUUAGAAAAUAAUUCUUUCUUUGGCCUCAACAGGGAAUGAAUAAUAAUAAUACAACAACAAUAAUAACAAUAACAUUAGCUGACGUUUGCUGAGCAUCCCACUUGCCAGAUGGAUUACUGAGUACUUCGCACGUGCUGUCUAGCUGGAUCCUCAGAGCAACCCAGUGAUGCACAGGAUCCUUGUUAUUCUCCCAAUGUACAGAUGAGGAAAACAGAGACUCAGUAAGGGCAAAGAGCUUUUCCAAGGGCAAAUAGCUAAUCAAACUGUCAAUAGAAAUCAUGGCCACUUGAUUUCUGACAAUCAAGAUUUCUGAAAACGAUGUUGUUUUCAGCAGAUGGUGCUGAGACAUCUGGAUAUCCACAUGCCAAAGAACGAGGUUGAGCCCCUCUUUUACACCAUGUAGAUUGAUUACCUAAAAAUUGAUCAUAGACCUAAAUGUGAGAGCUAAAACUAAACAAGUCUUAGAAAAAAACAUGGGAAUAUAUUUUCAGGACUUUGGUCGGGCGCGGUGGCGCACGCUUGUAAUCCCAGCACUUUGGGAAGCCGAGGAGGGUGGAUCACUUGAGGUCAGGAGUUCGAGACCAGCUGGCCAAUACGGUGAAACCCCGUCUCUACUGAAAAUACAAAAAUUAGCCAGGUGUAGAGGUGUGCAUCUGUAAUCCCAGCUACUGGGGAGGCUGAGGCAGGAGAAUCGCUUAACCCAGGAGACAGAGGUUGCAGUGAGCUGAGAUCACACCACUGCACUCCAGCCUGGGCGACAGUGAGACUCCAUUUCAAAAUAAAAUAAAAUAAAAUAAAAUAAAAUAAAAAUUUCAGGACA